UACGAGAGGUGCAAGCGUUGUUCGGAAUUAUUGGGCGUAAAGCGCACGUAGGCGGGUUUGUAUGUCGGUUGUGAAAUCCCAGGGCUCAACCCUGGAAUUGCAGCCGAAACUGCAAAUCUUGAAUACUUGAUAGGGUGGGAGAAUUCCUGGUGGAGCAGUGAAAUGCGUAGAGAUCAGGAGGAAUACCGGAGGCGAAGGCGCCUGCCUGGCAAGAUAUUGACGCUGAGGUGCGAAAGCAUGGGGAGCAAACAGG
rnacentral:rRNA from 1 species